rnacentral:rRNA from 1 species
CCUACGGGGGGCAGCAGUCGAGAAUAAUUCACAAUGGGGGCAACCCUGAUGGUGCAACGCCGCGUGGAGGAUGAAGGUCUUCGGAUUGUAAACUCCUGUCAUCUGGGAGUAAGGCAUGGUUGUGAAUAGCAAACAUGAUUGAUAGUACCAGAAGAGGAAGGGACGGCUAACUUCGUGCCAGCAGCCGCGGUAAUACGAAGGUCCCAAGCGUUAUUCGGAAUCACUGGGCGUAAAGGGAGCGUAGGCGGCGUGGUAAGUCAGAUGUGAAAUCCCGGGGCUCAACCCCGGAACUGCAUCCGAUACUGCCAUGCUAGAGGAUUGGAGAGGUAGCUGGAAUUCUUGGUGUAGCAGUGAAAUGCGUAGAGAUCAAGAGGAACACUCGUGGCGAAAGCGAGCUACUGGACAAUUCCUGACGCUGAGGCUCGAAGGCUAGGGUAGCGAAAGGGAUUAGAUACCCCAGUAGUC